GAUGUUUCAUUUGACAGAGCAACGCGGCAACAUAUUACAUAUGGUUCUAUGAUUUCUAAUAAUUUAAUGAUUUGACCUGCACCGGCAUGCACUCGGCUUUUCAUCCCCGUAUCAAAUGAUUGAUAGCUCAUUUUUUGGGUUCACCAAAUCAAGCAAAUUAACUUAAUCAAUUGAUUUACUUUUUCAAUUAAAAAACAAACAGUAUAUAGUAGUUCGAAUGAGGGCAUUUCACCAAGUCAAUACCUGGAGGCGACAGUCCGAACCAAGAGGGAUGGUCACAGAUGAAGCAAUCAAGAAAACGGCUGUCCUGCUCCGCUCCCCUUUGGCACCAGCUCCUGCCACUACAAAAGAGGUUUCCUCUAAAGGGUUCCUGCUGGAUACAGAUCUUCCAAGCACACCUCUGCCAGCCACAUCAUCACUGCCAUUGACAGCUUCUCCACUGGACCCAUCAAGAGAUGAGGUUGCCUCUUCAUUUUGGCCCACGACCGAUGGACAGAGCCCAUUAAAGCUGCCAGUGAUGUCCUACUGGCCAAACACCAUGGGGAGGAAGAGAUCCUGAAGUGGGUAGAUUUGCUUUGCUCUCAACACCAGCCCAGAGAAGCUCCAGAGACAGAGACACACAGCUGUGGCAUUAUUUUACUGCAGAGAGUAAAAUGGUCAGUGUCCCAAUCACGUCCAAUCACGCCUCACCCAAUUCAAGGAUGCCAUUUCAGUAUUUUGCUGCCGCUGCCUUCUUUCAGUGGGACCUGGAGGCCUCGAAGCAGAGGGAGGCAGUGAGGAAGGAGCAAACUGAGGAAAAAGAAAAUCCGUAGCGCAACACCCCUCUCUACAUCUGUACAGGUUCUGCCACCAGUCGCUGAAACAAGGCUCCAACAGCCAUCACACACAUACCGGCUUUCCUUGAUUUGGCAGGAAAAUAUCUACUGCCUAGACAAAGUUUUUUUCUCUGUAACUGAUACAGGACAUUGGGACACAGUCUGCCUUUUAUGAGACUGAAAAGUAGAGAUGGAUGGUGGGGAAGGGAGAGUGACUGAAAUAAAUAGGAGCUGAAAAUGUCCAUUGAUGGAAGUGGCUUGUUUGAUUUGUAUUUAUUUCACAGGUACUGUCCAUUCUUUUACUUUACUGUACAUAAAUUGCUUGAGAUCACUGGAUAUACAGUAUUAUCAGGGCUGUAAAGUACUUAAGUAAAAAUACUUUAAAGUACUACUUAGGUAUUUUUUGGGGGGUGUCUGUACUUUACAAAUUAUAUUUUUGACAACUUUUACUUUUACUUCACUAGAUUCCUAAAAAAUAUAUACAUUUUCCCAGGCACCCAAAAGUACUCAUUACAUUUUGAAUGCUUAUAGCAGGAAAGGAAAAUGGUCCAAUUAACGCACUUAUCAGGAGAAUCUCUACUGCCUCUGAUCUGGGGGACUCACUAAACACAAAUUCUUCCUAUGUAAAUGAUGUCUGAGUGUUGGAGUGUGCCCCUAGCUGUCUGUAAAUUUGAAGAAAAAAAACACAUUGUGUCGCCUGGUUUGCUUAAUAUAAGGAAUUUGACAUUAUUUAUACUUUUACUUUUUGAUACUUAAGUAUAUUUUAGCAAUUACAUUUACUUUUGAUACUUAAGUGUAUUUAAAACCAAAUACUUUUAGACUUUUACUCAUGUAGUAUUUUACUGGAUAACUCACUUCUACGGAGUCAUUUUCUAUUAAGGUAACUUUACUUUUACUCAAGUAUGAUUUCGUUAAAUUAAACCUCAACGUACAGCAAAUCUUCUCUUGUUUUUCCAUGUUGUCUUUAUAUAUGCAUUACAAUGGCAAAUGCAAUCGUCCUCCAAAUGCAAGAUGUCCUCCAGCAAUGUCUGAAGU